rnacentral:rRNA from 1 species
AUUGAACGCUGGCGGCAGGCCUAACACAUGCAAGUCGAGCGAGGGGCGGACGGGUGAGUAAUGUAUGGGGAUCUGCCCGAUAGAGGGGGAUAACUACUGGAAACGGUGGCUAAUACCGCAUACUAUCGGAUGAACCCAGAGGGGAGUAGAGAGUAGGUGGGUUAAAGGCUCACCUAGGCGACGAUCUGUAGCUGGUCUGAGAGGAUGAUCAGCCACACUGGGACUGAGACACGGCCCAGACUCCUACGGGAGGCAGCAGUGGGGAAUAUUGCACAAUGGGCGCAAGCCUGAUGCAGCCAUGCCGCGUGUAUGAAGAAGGCCUUCGGGUUGUAAAGUACUUUCAGCGAGGAGGCGUUACUCGCAGAAGAAGCACCGGCUAACUCCGUGCCAGCAGCCGCGGUAAUAC